ACGACAGUGAGAGACCUAUCCCCAACUCGAAGGCGCAGGGAAGCGACCCUCUCGUUCACCGGGGUAAACUCCAACACAUGGCGGCUGAGCUGGGGGGCUAUUAGCAAACCCACUCCAGCCCUCCGCCUCUCACCAUGGGCAACUCCAGAGUGGUAGAGAGUCCAGCCUCUCUCAAGAAGUGUGGUUCCAGAGCCCAAGCUGUGCGUUGAGGUGAGCCCGACUAUCUCUAGUCGGUACCUCUCGACCUCCCGCACAAGCUCAGGCUCCUUCCCCGCCAACGAGGUGACAUUCCACGUCCCUAAAGCCAGAUUCCGUGUCCAGAGAUCGGGUAGUCGGGGGUCUCGCCUACGACUGUCGCCCGAUCCACUAUGCACCGGCCCCUUACGCUCCCUCCUGCAGGUGGU